rnacentral:rRNA from 1 species
GGGCCCGCACAAGCGGUGGAGCAUGUGGUUUAAUUCGAUGAUACGCGAGGAACCUUACCAGGGCUUAAAUGUAGUGGGACAGGUCUAGAGAUAGACCCUUCUUCGGACUCAUUACAAGGUGCUGCAUGGUUGUCGUCAGCUCGUGCCGUGAGGUGUCAGGUUAAGUCCUAUAACGAGCGCAACCCCUAUCGUUAGUUGCCAGCGAGUAAUGUCGGGAACUCUAACGAAACUGCCAGUGCAAACUGUGAGGAAGGUGGGGAUGACGUCAAAUCAUCACGGCCCUUACGUCCUGGGCUACACACGUACUACAAUGGUAAGGACAAUGAGCUGCGAUCCUGCGAAGGCUAGCCAAUCUCAAAAACCUUAUCUCAGUUCGGAUUGCACUCUGCAACUCGAGUGCAUGAAGGUGGAAUCGCUAGUAAUCG